rnacentral:rRNA from 1 species
ACGCUCGACACCUACGGAGCAGCAGUGGGGAAUAUUGCACAAUGGGGGAAACCCUGAUGCAGCGACGCCGCGUGAGCGAAGAAGUAUUUCGGUAUGUAAAGCUCUAUCAGCAGGGAAGAAAAUGACGGUACCUGACUAAGAAGCCCCGGCUAACUACGUGCCAUCAGCCGCGGUAAUCUGAGCGGGCUGGCAAGGC